AGGUGUGCGUUGAGUAGAGUUUCUGUCCUCUCCGUGGUGAUGCUGUUGUCUGUCUUGUGCCCGAUCUUUGGGCUGUUCCUCCAUUGAAGUGUAGAAUGUCGGACUUGUUCAACCAAUGCGUUUAGCUCACUUGGGCGAUAUCUACUGAGGUUACCAUGCCAACCAGCUGUCUCCAUCCUUCCUGUCCCAGUGACGUAAACAUCUGUAUGUCCCAGGUGCCCCGAGCCCACAAUCUGGACCAUGCCAUGCCCCACCCCACUAUUUUCUCCUGUAGCUUUGGACACUGUGGACCCUGGCACCGGUAGUUGCUGCAGAAUAAAUACAAAAAAUGUAGGCCUGCUCAGGAUGUGCUGCAAUCCAAUAUACACGUGAGUAUAC